AAAAUUACAUUAAAUAAUUAUUUUAAAAUUGGAGCAAAUUGGAGUAAAAACAUAUAUAAGAAAUCAUCCAAUUAACUAAGUGCAUUAAACAACAACUCAAUAAAUCAACAAAAACGAGCAGAAAAAUUUAAUGAAGAUGGAAAUUAAUCAUCUUGAUUGUGAUUCUCUUCUCUCGAUAUUUUCACAUCUUCCAGCUGAAGAUAGAUUAAAACUACAAGAUGUGUGUCAAAAAUGGGAGAAAAUUAGUCACUUCAUCUGGAGCAACAUAAAAAUUUUAAAUUGCCCAAAAAUUUAUUUGAAUAACAAAUGUAUUACUCAAUCAGAAAUUGAGGAUAUAAUGAUACAAAGUAGAAAAUAUUUGAAGCAGUUAGUGUUUAGUAGUAAUUUAGAAGUAAAUUCAAUUUUAAAUAAUUGUAAAUUAUGUGCUAAUAUUAAUUGGCUUGAUCUCUCAAAUGCUUGUGAUGUCAAUGACAACACAAUUAUUUUUAUAACACAAAAUUUUAAAAAGUUGAGUUAUCUUGACAUAAGCAACAAUUGGGAGUUGACAAACAAGUCAUUAAUGAAAUUGGGAGAAUUAAAAAAUUUAAAAAGUAUUAUAUUAAAUGAUGUGGUUGACGUUGAUGAUGAAAUUGUUGAUCAAUUCAAAAAUAUGAAACGAGUUGAAUUUGCAAUUUCUCGUGUUACUCAAGCAGCUGUUUUAAAAAUUAUCAAUAAUUCUAAAGAGCUGGAAGUUUUAAAUAUUGCUGACACAAAUGUUACAGUUUCUUGUCUUUCAUUUGCUUCAUUUGCGUGUGAUCAACGUCAAAGAAAAUUGAAAAUGUUCGUUAAUAGAUAUCUUUACAAUUAUUUAAAUUAUGAUCUACAUAUAUCACCUUUUUUAACACUCGAAAUUUUUUAAUCAAUUUUAAA